rnacentral:rRNA from 1 species
UACGAAGGGGGCGAGCGUUGUUCGGAUUUACUGGGCGUAAAGGGCGCGCAGGCGGCUUUGUUUGUCAGGCGUGAAAGCCCCGGGCUUAACCUGGGAACUGCGUUUGAUACGGCAGGGCUAGAGUUCGGGAGAGGAGAGUGGAAUUCCCAGUGUAGAGGUGAAAUUCGUAGAUAUUGGGAAGAACACCGGUGGCGAAGGCGGCUCGCUGGGACGGUACUGACGCUGAGGCGCGAAAGCAUGGGGAGCGAACAGG